rnacentral:rRNA from 1 species
GUCCAGACUCCUACGGGAGGCAGCAGUGGGGAAUAUUGCACAAUGGGCUCAAGCCUGAUGCAGCCAUGCCGCGUGUGUGAAGAAGGCCUUCUGGUUGUAAAGCACUUUCAGCGGGGAGGAAGGCGUUAAGGUUAAUAACCUUGGCGAUUGACGUUACCCGCAGAAGAAGCACCGGCUAACUCCGUGCCAGCAGCCGCGGUAAUACGGAGGGUGCAAGCGUUAAUCGGAAUUACUGGGCGUAAAGCGCACGCAGGCGGUCUGUCAAGUCGGAUGUGCAAUCCCCGGGCUCAACCUGGGAACUGCAUUCGAAACUGGCAGGCUAGAGUCUUGUAGAGGG